CGGUGCGAGUCGGGAAGGCGGCGGGCGGGUGCGGCCUUCGGCGGCGGAGGGCGCCAUGGUGGGUGGCGAGGCGGCCGCCGCGGUGGAGGAGCUAGUUUCGGGGGUGCGGCAGGCGGCCGACUUCGCGGAGCAGUUCCGCUCCUACUCGGAGAGCGAGAAGCAAUGGAAGGCUCGCAUGGAAUUCAUUCUGCGCCACUUGCCCGACUACCGCGACCCGCCCGAUGGCGGCGGCCGCCUGGACCAGCUGCUGUCCCUCUCCAUGGUGUGGGCCAACCACCUCUUCCUGGGUUGCAGUUACAACAAAGACCUUUUAGACAAAGUGAUGGAAAUGGCUGAUGGAAUUGAAGUGGAAGACCUGCCACAGUUUACUACCAGGAGUGAAUUAAUGAAAAAGUGUCAGCCUCCAGAGAAGAGUCCUCAGGCACAAACCUGGUAUCCCUGAAAGCAGCUCUGCCAUCAGACUAGUCACACUCACCUAGCUACCUGGAAGAAGCCUGCGGGGAGCCUCUACUUCUAGAGCACUUGCGGAUUGUGUGUGUUCCGGCUUCCUUUCAAUAAAACCAUCAAAGCUGAGGCAGAAGAUUCAUCACAUUUUCCAGCAUCAGCUACAGGCUUAGGAAGGAGGCUGGGAUGAAUGUGACAUGGACCACAGCAGCUCUCUUAAGAUUCCUGGUAUUUCCAACAUGUAGGAAAGAGGCAGUUGGAAUGACAAUCUUGUCUAGUUUGGAGUUUUAAAAGGUCUCAUUCUUCCAGUAGCUAUCAUUGUAAAAGUGUGCAUGGAUAUUUAUGUAUUUAUAAAUCAUGCCCUCUUUUUUUAUUUUCACUUUUUGAAUGUCAAACUUUUUGUUAAAAAUGCUUUUUUUUUUUUUUUUAUGUUGUUGUAAUAAUUGCCGGUAGUGAAUUUUACAAUUUGGACUUUUCAAUAAUGUAUUUUCAAGUCUGAUUCUGUUUUAUGGUCUUUUCCCCUCCCCGCACUGAGGCAAACCAGCCUUAUUUCUUUUUUUUUAAGAUUUUAUUUAUUUGAGAGAAAGAGAGCAUGAGAAGGGGGGAGGGGCACAGGGAGAGGGAUAAGCAGACUCCCUGCUAAGCAGGGAGCCCGACUCAGGGCUUGAUCCCAGGACCUUGAGAUCAUGACUCGAGCCGAAGGCAUACACUUCACCGACUGAGCCACCUAGGCGCCCUUAUUUCCUUAUUUCUUUCUGAAGUUUAUGCCGUCUUUAUGGCCACUGCCACACACACUCAUCUUUUUUUAAGAGAUGAGUGAGAAUCAAAUCAUAGGCCUCAGGUACCUACCAGCUCAUGGGAAGAGGUGGCUUGUGAAAGGGCAUCUGGCCUUAUUUUAAAAUGGACACCAGAUGCCACAGCUUGAUCCAGGCAGCCUAGUUGAUUUAUAGAUUUUCUAGAAGGUCUCCUAGAUAGCUGAGUAAAGCCCACAUUCUCUUUUUCUGCAGGGAUUCUGAGGGUUUUGGUCUUCUAGACUUAAGGAUUGCUUUGCCCAUAGCCCCCGAAGAAAUAUUUGUGUAAUGCAAUGCUGUUUUGCUCUGAAA